UACGUAGGUGGCAAGCGUUGUCCGGAAUUAUUGGGCGUAAAGCGCGCGCAGGCGGUUCCUUAAGUCUGAUGUGAAAGCCCACGGCUCAACCGUGGAGGGUCAUUGGAAACUGGGGGACUUGAGUACAGAAGAGGAGAGCGGAAUUCCACGUGUAGCGGUGAAAUGCGUAGAGAUGUGGAGGAACACCAGUGGCGAAGGCGGCUCUCUGGUCUGUAACUGACGCUGAGGCGCGAAAGCGUGGGGAGCGAACAGG
rnacentral:rRNA from 1 species